rnacentral:rRNA from 1 species
AACGAACGCUGGCGGCAGGCCUAACACAUGCAAGUCGAACGCCCGUAGCAAUACGGGAGUGGCAGACGGGUGAGUAACGCGUGGGAACGUGCCCUUCGGUUCGGAAUAACUCAGGGAAACUUGAGCUAAUACCGGAUACGUCCGUAAGGAGAAAGAUUUAUCGCCGAAGGAUCGGCCCGCGUCGGAUUAGCUAGUUGGUGAGGUAACGGCCCACCAAGGCGACGAUCCGUAGCUGGUCUGAGAGGANGAUCAGCCACACUGGGACUGAGACACGGCCCAGACUCCUACAGGAGGCAGCAGUGGGGAAUAUUGGACAAUGGGCGGAAAGCCUGAUCCAGCCAUGCCGCGUGAGUGAAGAAGGCC